UACGGGGGGGGCAAGCGUUGUUCGGAAUUACUGGGCGUAAAGGGUUCGUAGGUGGCCAACUAAGUCAGACGUGAAAUCCCUCAGCUUAACUGGGGAACUGCGUCUGAUACUGGUUGGCUUGAGUGCAGGAGAGGAACGCGGAAUUCCAGGUGUAGCGGCGAAAUGCGUAGAUAUCUGGAGGAACACCGGUGGCGAAGGCGGCGUUCUGGACUGCAACUGACACUGAGGAACGAAAGCGUGGGGAGCAAACAGG
rnacentral:rRNA from 1 species